CCGCCGGAACGGUCGCCGGCCGAUGCUCUCUGCGACGGAAAGAAAGCCGCCGGACCCACUUCCGGUGCGUUUUACAAUGAACUCCGGGCACUCGAGUCGCUCCCCGGAAACUAUAGUUCUGCUUCCACCGUUGUCCUACUUUGGAUAGCAUCAAGACAAAAAUCUCAGUCUUCGAGGAACUCACAGUGUAGCAGAAAAGACAAAGGAGGUAAACAGGAGGAGCAUGAAUAAUUCAUCUUGAUGUAAUCAUGCAAGACUCCUAAGAAGAUGUUAGGAGACCCUGUCAUCAUUCUUUUGGCCUCUAGUGUCCUUUAUCUUCAUGUUUGCUGGCUUCCUUUUACUACUAUGGAAAUACAACAUAUGCAAAAGUAGUGUUUUCACUGUUUAAAAACAUCGUCAGCAGCAUCAUCAUCAUUAACUGCACCAGGAAGCCAUGACUCCUUUCUGGACAAGGUGCACUUGCCUGUCAUCCUUCCAUCUCUUUCUUCCUCCUUGAAGUUCACAAUACCCAGUCCAGGAGCAUUGCAGAGAAUGCUAGGUGUGUCUGCAGACUUGACUUUAAAAGAAAACAAGUUCCUUCAAGUGAGUUCAUCAUGAUGGGAAUGAUAAUUUGUUUGAGAGAAUGUGUGUUCUUUGGCAAAGGAACUCCUGUUAUACCAUGACAGUAAUAAUAGCAGUAAUAAAAUCACCAAUAAUAAAUUUACUUUUGAAUUUAUUUAUGUAGUGUCUCGUGUUGUGCUAAAUGUUUUGCAAAUAUUAUUUCAUUUCACUCCCACAACAAUCUAUGAGGAAAGUACUGUGGUUGGAGAGGUUAGGUAAAUUGUCCAAGACAACAUAUCUAGAAACAUCCCUCG
rnacentral:lncRNA from 10 species